rnacentral:rRNA from 1 species
UCAGCCAAACUCCGAAUGCCGGUGUGAAGUGUUGUACAGCAGUGAGACUGUGGGGGAUAAGCUUCAUAGUCGAGAGGGAAACAGCCCAGACCACCAACUAAGGCCCCUAAGCGUGUGCUAAGUGGGAAAGGAUGUGGAGUUGCUUAGACAACCAGGAGGUUGGCUUAGAAGCAGCCAUCCUUGAAAGAGUGCGUAAUAGCUCACUGGUCGAGUGGUCCUGCGCCGACAAUGUAGUG